rnacentral:rRNA from 1 species
GAUGAACGCUGACAGAAUGCUUAACACAUGCAAGUCGAUGGGGAAGUGGUGCUUGCACCAUGGCAACCAUGGCGGACGGGUGAGUAACGCGUAAGGGACUUACCUGCAGGACUGGGAUAACAGGGGGAAACUCCUGACAAGACCGGAUAAUGUCAUGGAGCUGCAUGGCUUUAUGAUAAAAGGAGACGCCUGCGGAGAGCCUUGCGUCCUAUUAGCUAGUUGGUGAGGUAAUGGCUCACCAAGGCGAAGAUAGGUAGCCGGCCUGAGAGGGUGGACGGCCACAAGGGGACUGAGAUACGGCCCUUACUCCUACGGGAGGCAGCAGUGGGGAAUAUUGGACAAUGGGGGCAACCCUGAUCCAGCAAUUCUGUGUGCACGAAGAAGGUUUUCGGAUUGUAAAGUGCUUUCAGCAGGGAAGAAGUAAGUGACGGUACCUGCAGAAGAAGCGACGGCUAAAUACGUG